rnacentral:rRNA from 1 species
UACGUAGGUGACAAGCGUUGUCCGGAUUUACUGGGCGUAAAGAGCGCGCAGGCGGUCGAUCAAGUCGAGUGUGAAAGCCCCCCGGCUACAACUGGGGAGGGUCAUUCGAUACUGAUCGACUCGAAGGCAGGAGAGGGUAGUGGAAUUCCCGGUGUAGUGGUGAAAUGCGUAGAUAUCGGGAGGAACACCAGUGGCGAAGGCGACUACCUGGCCUGUUCUUGACGCUGAGGCGCGAAAGCUAGGGGAGCAAACGGGG